rnacentral:misc_RNA from 1 species
GAAAUGCGAUAAGUAAUGUGAAUUGCAGAAUUCAGUGAAUCAUCGAAUCUUUGAACGCACAUUGCGCCCGCCAGUAUUCUGGCGGGCAUGCCUGUCCGAGCGUCAUUUUAACCAUCAAGCCCCCGGGCUUGUGUUGGGGACCUGCGGCUGCCCGCAGGCCCUGAAAACCAGUGGCGGGCUCGCUGUCACACCGAGCGUAGUAGCAAUCACCUCGCUCAGGGCGUGCUGCGGGUUCCGGCCGUUAAACAGCCUUACAAAACCCAAGGUUGACCUCGGAUCAGGUAGGAAGACCCGCUGAACUUAAGC